CCAAUAUCGUCAACGCGGAUAGUUCGUUAGUCGAAAAUACUGAAUAAUUAAACAAACCAAAUGGCAUCACUGGUGGUUCUUUUUUCCACUCCGCUAAAUUGUCAUCUCAAACAAAAACAAAUGGAUCAUACAACUGCUAUGAAUACAUUCGACUCGUUCGCUUCCAUCAAUCGGUAAGUGAGAAAGAUGAUUUCUCCCAUCAGCACAGUGCGGAUUUCCACUUUUAUCACAGCAGCCAACAACAUCCGUUUUCCUGCAGCAGUAACCUCCAACCCCUGUUGGCAAUGUCGGGGGACAGCAUUAACAGCAGCAGCAGCAGAAUUUGACCAUGGUAUGGUAUUGCGAAGAACUUUUCCCAUUAGAGGUUCCGUGCUUCGCGCACAUUCAAAAAUCCUCUUCAGACACGAAAACUCAACGACAAGGAGGUAUUUAUCACUGAAUUACCACCCCGGAGGAACCCGAAUGCACUGAUUCCGUAGUAUAGUAGAAUGAAAAUAGGCGAGGUUAGCGAACGUAGUCGCAUGAUAUUUUAAUGUUCGCAUUUUUAUCCGGAUCAUACAACUGCUAUGAAUACAUCCGACUCAAUCAAUCGGCGAGUGAGAAAGAUGAUUUCCCUCAUCACCACAUUGCUUAUUUCCACUUCUGACACACGGCCAACAGCAUCAGCUUUCCCGCAGCAGUAUCCUUUAAGUCCAGGGUGCUAUUCCGGGGAAUAGCAUCAACAGCAACAGCAGCAGGACCUGGCCAUCGAUAGUAUUUCGAGCAAUUUUCCCCAUCGGAGAUCCCGUGCUUCACGCACAUUGAAGAAUCCUCCUCAGCCACAUAUCUGUGUCAUCAAGGGCAAGGAGGUAUUCAUCAAUGUACUCAGUCGGAUUUGAAUCGUCUAUCCAGACAACCCGGAUGCACCGAUUCCAUUAUAUACCUUAUUUUUAUUAUACAUGGUUUUUUAUUAUUUUUCUUCAAUAAAAUGAUUAAAAUCGA